rnacentral:rRNA from 1 species
GAUGAACGCUGGCGGCGUGCCUAAUACAUGCAAGUCGAGCGAACGGACGAGAAGCUUGCUUUUCUGAUGUUAGCGGCGGACGGGUGAGUAACACGUGGAUAACCUACCUAUAAGACUGGGAUAACUUCGGGAAACCGGAGCUAAUACCGGAUAAUAUUUUGAACCGCAUGGUUCAAAAGUGAAAGACGGUCUUGCUGUCACUUAUAGAUGGAUCCGCGCUGCAUUAGCUAGUUGGUAAGGUAACGGCUUACCAAGGCAACGAUGCAUAGCCGACCUGAGAGGGUGAUCGGCCACACUGGAGCUGAGACACGGUCCAGACUCCUACGGGAGGCAGCAGUAGGGAAUCUUCCGCAAAGGGCGAAAGCCUGACGGAGCAACGCCGCGUGAGUGAUGAAGGUCUUCGGAUCGUAAAACUCUGUUAUUAGGGAAGAACAUAUGUGUAAGUAACUGUGCACAUCUUGACGGUACCUAAUCAGAAAGCCACGGCUAACUACGUG